AUGGGGCUCUAUGGGGUGUCUAUGGGGCUCUAUGGGGUCUCUAUGGGGUGUCUAUGGGGCUCUAUGGGAGGCAGGGGGGCAAUAUGGGGUGUCUAUGGGGCUCUAUGGGGCUCUAUGGGGAUCUAUGGGGCUCUAUGGGGUGUCUAUGGGGCUCUAUGGGGCUUUAUAGGGCUCUAUGGGGUGUCUAUGGGGCUCUGUGGGGCUCUAUGGGGUGUCUAUGGGGCUCUAUGGGGCAAUAUGGGCCACUAUAGGGUGUCUAUGGGGCUCUAUGGGGUGUCUAUGGAGUGUCUAUGGGGCUCUAUGGGGCAAUAUGGGGUCUCUAUAGGGUUCUAUGGGGUUCUAUGGAGCUUUAUGGGGCUCUAUGGGGAUCUAUGGGUCUCUAUGGGGCUCUAUGGGGUCUCUAUGGGUGUCUAUGGGGCUCUAUGGGGUAUCUAUGGGGCUCUAUGGGUAUCUAUGGGGUGUCUAUGGGUCUCUAUGGGGCUCUAUGGGGUGUCUAUGGGGCUCUAUGGGUGUCUAUGGGGCUCUAUGGGGUAUCUAUGGGGUUCUAUGGGGCUCUAUGGGGUGUCUAUGGGGCUCUAUGGGGCAAUAUGGGUCACUAUGGGGUAUCUAUAGGGCUCUAUGGGGUAUCUAUGGGGUUCUAUGGGGUGUCUAUGGGGCUCUAUGGGGUAUCUAUGGGGCUCUAUGGGGUGUCUAUGGGGCUCUAUGGGGUAUCUAUGGGGUUCUAUGGGGUGUCUAUGGGGCUCU
rnacentral:lncRNA from 1 species